AGUUAGAUUUUAAAACAACAAAUGGGGUUAAUUGUGAUAUAUGUAAACAUGAAAAAAUAAAACAUUCAAAUUAUUUUGUUGAAUCUAUUGCAAAACCAAUUAAAAAAUUUAAAGAUGAGGAAGAACGUGUUACGAGUAUGUCUAAUUUAAAAAAAGAAAUACUGGAUAAAGUUUUAUUAAGAAGAACAAAAGAAGAAACCAAGGAAGAAUUAAAAUUAGAAGAAUUAAUAAUAAAGACAAUAACAUGUGAAUUAAGUGAGGCAGAACAAUAUUUUUAUUAUACUUUAUCUAACAAAAUAUUAGCAAAAUAUAAAAUAAACAUAAAAUCAAGUGAAACAAAUAAUAAUGCUUUAUUUUCAAAUUUAAUACUAAGAUUAAGACAGGCAGUAAAUCAUCCAUUUUUAAUUCUAUUAGGAAACUCAUUCAAAAUAAAUGAAUAUGGUAGAUGUAUUAAAAGAAAAAACAUUACAAAGUCAAUUUGUGAAAAUAGUUCUGUUUGUGACAUAUGUUUAAAGAAUGUUUCGACAAAUGAUAAUGUUACUACAAGAUGUAAUCAUAGUUUUCAUAAAUCAUGUAUGGAGCAAUAUAUAAAAAAUUUUGAUAUGAAAAAUAGAGAAUGUAUAAAUAUAGAUAAAGAUAAUACAAAAGGUACCAUUAACUAUGAAACAAUAUCAAAAACCAAUACAUAUGAUCUUACUAACAUAAAUAACAUCCAGAAUAUUUUUGAUAAAAAUAAAAUCGUUAGUAGGAAUGAUAUAAUAUUUGGUAACGAUGUGGAUAAUAGAGAUGAUGAUGAUGUAAUUUUAUUAAAUGAAAAUAUAAUAAAUCAAACAAAUAGUACUGGAAAAAAAAUAAAUAAAAAACGAAAAUCUAUUUCUGAAGUUAAGUUUAAAAAUAAAGAAAAUUCUGAAUUUAUUAGUUUAUUAAGUAAUGAUAUACAUGUUAAUAGUUAUCCAAUUGGUUGUCCAGAAUGUUAUGUUCCACUGCCUUCUAAUUUCACAGAUUUACAAGACAAUUUUACUAA
rnacentral:lncRNA from 1 species